UUGAUGCCGAGCCGCUUCAGGCGAAGUCAUCAAUCCCAUGCUGCCAAGAAAAGCCCAACAGUGAGUUGGCACGGCACCCGUACCCCAAACCGACACAGGUGGGCGGGUAGAGAAUACCAAGGCGAUCGGGAGAACUAUGGUUAAGGAACUCGGCAAAUUACAUCCGUAACUUCGGGAGAAGGAUGACCCUAUUAGGGUGAAGGGACUUGCUCCCCGAGCUCGAGAGGGUGACACAAACCAGGGGGUAGCGACUGUUUACCAAAAACACAGCAGCGUGCUAAGCCGCAAGGCGCUGUAUACGCUGUGACGCCUGCCCAAUGCUGGAAGGUCACGGGGAACGGUUAGUCGAAAGGCGAAGCUGUGAACCUAAGCCCCAGUGAAUGGCGGCCGUAACUAUAACGGUCCUAAGGUAGCGAAAAUUUGUCGGGUAAGUUCCGACCUGCACGAAUGGCGUAACGACUUCCCCACUGUCUCAACCAUAGACCCGGCGAAAUUGAAGUACGAGUAAAGAUGCUCGUUAGCUGCGGAAGGACGGAUAGACCCCAUGGACCUUUACUACAACUUGAUAUUGAGCUUUGUCCUGCAUUGUGUAGGAUAGGUGGGAGACUUGGAAGCUGUGGCGCUAGCCAUGGUGGAGUCAUCGUUGAAAUACCACCCUGUGUAUGACGGGGCCCUAACCUAGGUCCAUUAUCUGGAUCAGGAACAGUGUCAGGCGGGUAGUUUGACUGGGGCGGUCGCCUCCUAAAAUGUAACGGAGGCGCCCAAGGUUCCCUCAGGCUGGUUGGCAAUCAGCCGUCGAGUGCAAUGGCACAAGGGAGCUUGACUGCGAGACCUACAAGUCAAGCAGGUGCGAAAGCAGGGCAUAGUGACCCGGCCAUCAUGUGUGGAAGUGUGGUCGCUCAACGGAUAAAAGGUACCCUGGGGAUAACAGGCUAAUCUUUCCCAAGAGUCCAUAUCGACGGAAAGGUUUGGCACCUCGAUGUCGGCUCAUCGCAUCCUGGGGCUGAAGCAGGUCCCAAGGGUUGGGCUGUUCGCCCAUUAAAGCGGUACGCGAGCUGGGUUCAGAACGUCGUGAGACAGUUCGGUCCCUAUCCUCCGCAGCCGAAGGUGUAUUGAGGAAGGCUGUCCCUAGUACGAGAGGACCGGGACGGACGGAGCUCUGGUGUGUCUGUUGUCCUGCCAAGGGCAUGGCAGAUUAGCCACCUCCGGAAGGGAUAACUGCUGAAAGCAUCUAAGUAGGAAACCCGUUCCAAGAUGAGUACACCCAUGCGGUUAACGCAGUAAGGCCCGUGACAAGACCAUCACGUUGAUAGGCCGGAGGCGUAAGCACGGUAACGUGUGUAGCCGACCGGUACUAAUCGGCCGAGGGCUUGGAUU
rnacentral:rRNA from 1 species